UACGUAGGUGGCAAGCGUUGUCCGGAUUUAUUGGGUUUAAAGGGUGCGUAGGUGGUCUAUUAAGUCAGUGCUGAAAUAUCCCGGCUUAACCGGGAGGGUGGCAUUGAUACUGAUGGACUUGAGUAAAGUUGAGGUUGGCGGAAUUGACGGUGUAGCGGUGAAAUGCUUAGAUAUCGUCAAGAACACCUAUUGCGAAGGCAGCUAACUAAGCUUUAACUGACACUGAGGCACGAAAGUGUGGGGAGUCAAACAGG
rnacentral:rRNA from 1 species